rnacentral:rRNA from 1 species
GGGCCCGCACAAGCAGUGGAGUAUGUGGUUUAAUUCGAAGCAACGCGAAGAACCUUACCAGGGCUUGACAUACAGAUGAAUUAUGUGGAAACAUGUAAGCUCUUCGGAGCAUCUGUACAGGUGGUGCAUGGUUGUCGUCAGCUCGUGUCGUGAGAUGUUGGGUUAAGUCCCGCAACGAGCGCAACCCCUGUUGCUAGUUACUAACAUUUAGUUGAGGACUCUAGCGAGACUGCCGCAGAUAAUGCGGAGGAAGGUGGGGAUGACGUCAAAUCAUCAUGCCCUUUAUGUCCUGGGCAACACACGUACUACAAUGGUCGUAACAGAGAGAGUCGAUACCGCGAGGUGGAGAAAAACUGAUAAAAGCGACCUCAGUUCAGAUUGAAGGCUGAAACUCGCCUCCAUGAAGAUGGAAUUGCUAGUAAUGGCAGGUCAGCAUACUG